AAGCCAUGAUGAGGACAUUGCAAAACAAAUCAUUGUAGCACUCCCAUGCAUCAUGAAAAGGUUCAUCGGCUUCUUGAGCAAAGGUUAUGAUUUGGGUGAUCAAUGCUU